GCACUGCAGAGGAGUCCUAGAAUAGGACGAAGUGGCUGUCCAGUGU
rfam:Schistosoma margrebowiei strain Zambia genome assembly, scaffold: SMRZ_scaffold0003339